rfam:Rattus norvegicus chromosome 12, whole genome shotgun sequence.
GGAGAUUUAGCUCAGUGGUAGAGCGCUUGCCUAGCAAGCGCAAGGCCCUGGGUUUGGUCCCCAGCUCCG